rnacentral:sRNA from 1 species
GCCACCCCUAGCCUGGCCGGGCGAAAGGCGGAAACCUUCACCGCUUGGGGUGGCAUCUAUUUGAGGGG